CCAUGAAAAUGAUCCCUGGUGCCAAAAAGGUUGGGGACUGCUGCUACUACUCAAAAGAAGAUGAAGAUGAUGGCAACAAGGGUGGGGGUCCUAACAGUCUGAUGGCUACAGAUGGCAGCCUGGAUCAUGGUACCGCUGGGUAUGUGGGUAGCCUGCCACAUUACCAAGGACAUGCUCCCAGGGCCCUAUCCUAAGACCCUAGAAGAAUGGGCCACCGCUGCCAAGAAGUAUAAUAUAUGUGUGGAAGACUAUGAGCCUUGCCUGCAUGAUGGCAUGGGGUAUGGCAACCGCCAGAAGAUCCCUGACAGGUCACAGCAGAAGGAUCCAUGGUGUGACUGGGACCACUCAGACCUGCGGUUGAACUGGGGUAAAACUGAUGCACUGUGACCUACACAUGUAUAUCAGGCAUAUCCCCCCCACCUGUGUCUUGGAAUAUCAUGUGUAAGCAGCUCUUCGGCUUUCUGGCCUUUGUGACGUUCAUGUUCUAGGUAGGAUACCUACCAGUCUGUGGGGCCAAAACAGUAUCCUUAUAAUAAUCUGUACGUGGAACCAGGCUCAGAUCCUACUAGAGAACCUGAGCUGGUGGUUCACUAUGAGAUCUGAGGAGGCUUCGUGGGCUUUUGUGCCCUCUAACUAGGACUCCCUCAUUCCUAGAAAUUUAACCUUAAUGGAAUCCCUACUAAAACUUAGUGCUGUG